rnacentral:rRNA from 1 species
AGUGAACGCUGGCGGUAGGCCUAACACAUGCAAGUCGAACGGCAGCACAGUAAGAGCUUGCUCUUACAGGUGGCGAGUGGCGGACGGGUGAGGAAUACAUCGGAAUCUACUUUUUCGUGGGGGAUAACGUAGGGAAACUUACGCUAAUACCGCAUACGACCUACGGGUGAAAGCAGGGGAUCUUCGGACCUUGCGCGAUUGAAUGCGCCGAUGUCGGAUUAGCUAGUUGGCGGGGUAAAGGCCCACCAAGGCGACGAUCCGUAGCUGGUCUGAGAGGAUGAUCAGCCACACUGGAACUGAGACACGGUCCAGACUCCUACGGGAGGCAGCAGUGGGGAAUAUUGGACAAUGGGCGCAAGCCUGAUCCAGCCAUACCGCGUGGGUGAAGAAGGCCUUCGGGUUGUAAAGCCCUUUUGUUGGGAAAGAAAAGCAGCAGGUUAAUACCCCGCUGUUCUGACGGUACCCAAAGAAUAAGCACCGGCUAACUUCGUG